AUGGACCUUUCAGGUAAGACCUCUGGGAAUAAAAUCACUCCAAAUAGUGUUGAACUCAACACAGUGGAGGGAGAUAAUUUAACCCUCUCCUGUAACUACAGCUCUGGAAACUAUCUACAGUGGUAUCGCCAGUAUCCAAGAUCAGCACCCCAGUUUCUCUUGUUCAUCACUAGUCCCGAUAAGACAGACAAAUCAGAUGUGGAACCACGAUUCUCUGGGAGAAUGAAUAAGGAGAGGAAUCAGAUGUUUCUGGACAUCUCCUCUGCUAAACUCUCAGACUCUGCUCUCUACUACUGUGCCCUGAGGCCCACAGUGAAGGAAACUGGCAAACUGUCAUACAAAAACUGA